GUUUGCAAUCGAGGGGGUUGCCUUGGAGAACUGAAAGAUGUCUUUGAUCCAUCAGCUUUUAGGUAUGCAUGGAUCUCUGAUCUGCAGUCCAGCCUUUGGAUGCAGAGCUGACUGAUAUAGGGACAGAGAGCCAGGGCUUGGCUGGUGUCCCAGGCCAGGGGUCAGUUCUUGAGAGUGGCUAAAUCCCUCCCGGAUCCAGAAAUGGACAGUCAGACACGGAUGGUGGCUUUCAUCCCAGAGUGAGCCUACGGACACCUAUAAGUGAUAAUGAAUGGGCUUCACACAUGGCAAAAUUAAUUUAGAGCCUCUGACACAAGCCCCUUGAGCUCCUGCUGACGCCCUGCAGCUGGAGGCUCAGCUCUGUGCGUUUUCCGUGACGGAGGAGCAGGACGGCUGUGAACAGUUUCUCUCCCUUCACUAACACCGCUGUGAUUGCCAUCAGGUCCUGGAGGGGUCUCACCUGGCUGGGUACAAGAUCAUCAAGGACUCCUGUUAACCAUGAGUUGCCUUCCACCCAAAGGCAUAGAGGAUGGCGCCAAUUCGACAUGGCUCCCGCUGCCCCAGGAACCCAGCUUUUGAGACACCACAAUGGGACCAGUGACAGUCUUCACUGCAGUGACCAGAAUCAGCCUGGCCGCGGGACGUGCUCGUCUCAUCCCUGCUGGCUCCCGCCGGCGCGCUGGGCUCCGCUGACCCACACGGAAG